rnacentral:rRNA from 1 species
AUACAAUGAAGAGUUUGAUCCUGGCUCAGGAUGAACGCUAGCGGCAGGCCUAACACAUGCAAGUCGAGGG